GUGUGUGUGUGUGUGUGUGUGUGUGUGUGUGUGUGUGUGUGUUUGUGCACCCGGAGCCAGAUCAGUCAUCCCUUGGGACUGAUUUCAUGAAUCCAGUGUGUUGAUUUAGUAACUCCAUUUAAUGAUGAAAUGCCCAAUUGCUUGGGUGGUAUUGAUCUAAUCAGAGUGCUCUUGUUUGUUGAAAAUUUGGGCAAAAACCAAGUGCAUUGUUGUGAUUCAGUAUUUGCAGCGGUGCCAUAACUGAAAUGUGAAUUAUUUAAAAAAAAAAAUGUGUGAGUACUGAAUAAUGUUACCCCAGCAAAUGUCUAGAGCCGUCUUGAUUGUGGAGAGGUUCCAUCUCCCAUGAUGCACUUUGUUACACUCAGCCAUUAGCACAAGAGAGAACACAGUAGGUAAUCACUUUUAUUUAGAGAGAACAUGUUGAUCAUGCUAUUAAAGAGGUAGUAUACAAAAUGUUAAAUGUGUUUUUUUUUUUUUUUUUUAAGAUGUAAACUUAA